GUGGGCGACGGGUGAGUACACGUAAGCAACCUACCCUAAAGACGAGGAUAACCAUUGGAAACAGUGGCUAAGACUGGAUAGGAAGAUAAAAGGCAUCUUGUAUCUUUUAAAAGACCUAGUAAUAGGUAUGCUUUAGGAGGGGCUUGCGCCAUAUUAGUUAGUUGGUAGGGUAAUGGCCUACCAAGACGAUGAUGUGUAGCUGGACUGAGAGGUUGAACAGCCACAUUGGGACUGAGACACGGCCCAAACUCCUACGGGAGGCAGCAGUAGGGAAUUUUCGGCAAUGGAGGAAACUCUGACCGAGCAACGCCGCGUGAAUGACGAAGUACUUCGGUAUGUAAAGUUCUUUUAUCGAGGAAGAAAAGCAAAUGGCGAACCAUUUGUUUGCCGGUACUUGAUGAAUAAGCCCCGGCUAAUUAUGUGCCAGCAGCCGCGGUAAGACAUAAGGGGCAAGUGUUAUCCGGAAUUAUUGGGCGUAAAGGGUGCGUAGGCGGUCUAGUAAGUCAGUGGUGUAAUGGCAACGCUUAACGUUGUCCGGCUAUUGAAACUGCUAAACUUGAGUUAGAUAGAGGCGAGUGGAAUUCCAUGUGUAGCGGUAAAAUGCGUAAAUAUAUGGAGGAACACCAGAGGCGUAGGCGGCUCGCUGGGUCUUAACUGACGCUGAGGCACGAAAGCGUGGGGAGCAAACAGGAUUAGAUACCCUGGUAGUCCCACGCCGUAAACGAUGAGUACUAAGUGUCGGGUAAAACCGGUACUGAAGUUAACACAUUAAGUACUCCGCCUGAGUAGUACGUACGCAAGUAUGAAACUUAAAGGAAUUGACGGGACUCCGCACAAGCGGUGGAUCAUGUUGUUUAAUUCGAAGAUACCCGAAAAACCUUACCAGGUCUUGACAUGUUUUUGCAAAAUGAUAGUAAUAUCGUGGAGGUUACCAGAAACACAGGUGGUGCAUGGUUGUCGUCAGCUCGUGUCGUGAGAUGUUAGGUUAAGUCCUAAAACGAGCGAAACCCUUAUCGUUAGUUGCCAGCACGUUAUGGUGGGGACUUUAACGAGACUGCCAAUGAUAAAUUGGAGGAAGGUGAGGAUCACGUCAAAUCAGCAUGCCCCUUAUGACCUGGGCUACAAACGUGAUACAAUGGCUGUUACAAAGGGUAGCUGAAACGCAAGUUCUUGGCCAAUCCCCAAAAACAGUCCCAGUCCGGAUUGAAGUCUGCAACUCGACUUCAUGAAGUUGGAAUCGCUAGUAAUCGCGAAUCAGCAUGUCGCGGUGAAUACGUUCUCGGGGUUUGUACACACCGCCCGUCAAACCACGAAAGUUGGCAAUACCCCAAAACGGUAGCCUAACUCGUU
rnacentral:rRNA from 1 species